rnacentral:lncRNA from 1 species
UGGGAACAGAUGUAGAGAGGGUAAACUUUAUUACAAGGAAUGAGGAAAAUGGAACUGAUUUUGACAAGGGCCAUUGUCAAUCAUUAGUUCACAUGACAGCCAUGAAGGCACACAAUGAGCCUCGUGUAAGCAUCAGGUACUACAUUUAGGAAGAGAGAUGGUGGUGGUGUCUCAAGACAUUCAAGGUGCUCAGUGAGUGCAGACUAUGCAGAAGAAGUGACACAGAAGCCUGAUGGAGGUGAUGAUACCCAGUGGCCAUGGGACUUUGUCAGCAAAGGCAGUGAUAAACAGCAUGAGAGUAAGGAUGCAGUGGCCAGAAGAGGCAGCCCAGGGAAGAUCUGAGGUGAACCCUCUGGUUGGAAAGGCUUGGCAAAUUGGAGGAACAAAAAGAAAAAAUAGUAAAUCUACAACAAGGAUCAGCAAACUCCAGUC